rnacentral:rRNA from 1 species
UACAGAGGGGGCAAGCGUUAUUCGGAAUUAUUGGGCGUAAAGGGCGCGUAGGCGGCCAUUCAAGUGACGGGUGAAAGCCCCGGGCUCAACCUGGGAACUGCAUUGGAAACUAACGGGCUCGAGUGUGGCAGAGGGGGGUGGAAUUCCACGUGUAGCAGUGAAAUGCGUAGAGAUGUGGAGGAACACCGAUGGCGAAGGCAGCCCCCUGGGCUAACACUGACGCUCAGGCACGAAAGCGUGGGGAGCAAACAGG